GGGUUGCCAUGAUGGAGCUGCCGCAGCUCUGGUUGCAGAAGGCAGUGGACACCAUGGUGAAGAGUCUGAAGAGACAGAACAUCCAGAAGAUGCAGGGUCUUAUGUUACGGGGCAGCGCCAGCAGUUGUGACGAAAACCAGGAGCCCAUGGAGCAGGUGCACCGGUGCUUUGAGUGCUGUCAUGCGCCUCUAGCCCAAGAGCAGGCCUUGGUGACCAAUGAACUGGAAAAGUUCCAGGACCACCUAGCCCGGUGCACCAUGCAUUGCAACGACAAAGCCAAAGAUUCUAUAGAUGCAGGGAACAAGCAGCUUCAGGUGAAGCAGCAGCUAGACAGUUGUGUGGCCAAGUGUGUGGAUGACCACUUGCACCUCAUCCCGACUAUGACCAAGAGGAUGUAGGAGUCUUUCUCAUCCAUUGGGAAAUAAGAGCCUUGGCCAGUUGCCAUUGGGGCUGAGGGCAAGAAUCUAAUUUUUAGAAG